rnacentral:miRNA from 1 species
GUCUGUAUGUGUAUGUGUGCAUGUGCAUGUAUGCAUGUACAUGUAGGAAGAAAAGCACACAUUCAGAU